CAAUUCAGAAAUAUUUAAUUUGGAAACCGUAUAAACAGUGUUUUGCAUAAUAUGAGAGAGAGUCCAUUCUUUCUUGCUUCCACUCCAAUCAUAGUUACCAUCGAUCCCAUACAACCCAAGCUAAAACAUAUACUAUUAAACCUACUGUGCUUCAGUGUCCACACAUAUAUAUAGGCAUGCCUGGAUUAGGGUUUUGCGAUAUGGGUUUAGGGUUUUAUAUAUGACACAAAGGAAACCCUUUUAUUUGAUCAUCAAUUUCUUUCAUUGUAUCCUCCCCUAAUUAGCUAAUCUGUUCAACUUCUUUCUACUCGCAGAGGUUAUAUUUCUAAUUUAUGGUUCAAUUGUUAUAAUCCCAUUUUCAAGAAUCGAUUUUUAAUUAAGUGGGAUUUUGAUUUGUCUGCUUGUCAUUUAAUAUAGACAAAGAUUGCAGUGUAAAGUUUGCAUCUCUUAAUCUGAAAAUUUCCAAGCAAAACGAAACUAUAGUGGUCAUAUAAUAUAUGUACGCAUGAACAUAUUUGUAAAUAUAUAUAUAUAUCCGUAUGUGUGUAUGUGAUUGCAUAUAAUUCUAAGGCAGAAUUACCAUUCGUCUGCAGAAGCCGAAGG
rnacentral:misc_RNA from 1 species